GUCGUCGUCGUUGUAGCCGCCCCCAACACACACCCCGCUAGCUUAAUAUAUAUACACAUACAAAUAUAUAUGAUUUUUUUUCUCGUAUUUUUCCAUUUCUUUUGCGCUCUCCCAGUUGCGGUCGUCGUUGGCGUCGCUGUCGCUGCCAACGUCAACGGCGCUGCUUGGCUUGGCCGCUCGCUUUCAUGGGGUUCUUGAGCGUAUGCAAAAGAUUUUUGCACAUAUUCAUCUUUUUGGCCGUUUUCGGUGCUUUUUGACUGUUUGGAACAUUUUUAAAGAUUACGUUAAAACGUUGUUGAUACUUAUUAAAAAUAUUGUUUUGUUAAUUAUAA